GCUGUCUGCUGCUGUGAUGACCUGCUGCUGGCUCUCAUGUUUUAUGCAUUUUAAUACAAAACUGCAUCAAAAUUUGAUUUUUUAUUCAUCUUUUAGACUUUUGAGGCUCAACUUUUGAUGUUUUUUCUCAGCCACCCUGUAAAAACUCUUUCAGAAUCAGCACUUCCCGUCCCCGAGGGCCUCCUUCCUUAAUUGCAUAUGAAUCGGGAUCACUUUACGCUCCUGCGCCGCUCCUCGGCGUGGGCAGAGUUCAUGUCACUGGAAGCCUGACUGUAACAAUCUCCAUUUUAAAGUAGUCGUUUCAGUUUCCAGCAUCUGGCUCUGCUAUUGAAGUGACAUGCGGCUCCUGUUUCUGCCCCUCCGUGAGGCCGGCUGCUCCUCAGAGGAGCUCUGGCGUUCCCUCCUCCGGUUCUCAUCCCUGAGCUCCAUCCUGCUGCAUUUUGAGCCUUUUCAGCCCGUGUCACCGAAGGCGCCGGAGUGACCCGCUUGGGAAGUCGACAAUAAGCGGUUACACCGACGGAGGUCCGUUUACAGCAGAACAAAAGCAGAGGGGUGUUUGAUUCACUUGUGAAGCAUGUAGGGAGUCAUCCAAUUCCUGUUUAAGUAUUGAUGGGGGCUUUACAUGGCAGGGGCAGGUCGGGAGGUGCAAGCGCAUGCUUGUAGAUGUUGCAUGUAUUUUGAAUGUGUCUCUGAAGGUGAGGGCUUCACGGUGGGAUCUGUGCUUCAGACUCAUGGACACCGUGAAGAUUUACUGAACUGAUGCGGCGCCGGAGGACGACGCUGGAUGAAUGUCGGUCGUUCCUGACGUGACUGCGAGGAACAAAUGAGGAAAAGUCCCCAUCACCCUCAUGGACCGCGUUCCUGACCCCGCCCCGCAGUUGGAGGUGGACGUGGACCUCGGCUUCGCUCUCUUCUUCUUAGGCCUCCUGUGUUUGUUCCUGCUGGCCACGGUGGUGCGCUGCGCCCAGACGGUGGUGGAUCCCUACGGUUCCAUCUCCAUCUCCACCUACGAGGAGGAGCAGAUCACCUGAGUCAGAGGGCAUUCAAGGACAAGUGGUUUACAUGAUAAUAACGUAAAGAGUGUUCAAAGUCUCUAAAGACAAACUAGUUAUGGGAUCAUCCACGCUGUGGGCGUCAGGUCGGAGCAUCGUUGGGGGGCGUGUCCAAAGGAGGAGACGGAACAACCACGAAAAAUCCAUCACUUCCAUAAAAUGGACAUUCUGGUCAGAAUUGUUAUUUACAAAUGAAAAAUUAUGUCAAAUACUUUAAACAUUUGCAUAAUGAGGUUCAUUUUUUUAAUGUGGUGAAAAUAUUUAAUCUACAGCUAUUUUAUGUUAAGUGAACGUUUUACUGUCGAUCUAAUUCAGUGUAUUUAGAAAAUAUUGGUUCAAAACCAAAGUUUAAAAAAAAAAAA